rnacentral:lncRNA from 1 species
GACAAAUGUUGGAUUGGCAAUUGUUGAAUUAACAUAAAAAAAAAUUGAGGAACCUCCACUAUUCUAUGCACUUUGGACAAAAAUAACAAGAUUACAAGAGGAUAACCAGGCCUCCACACCCCAGCAGUAUUGCAGAAGAAGAAAAAAAUCUGCACUGUUUAAUCACCCCAGAUUUCCCAGCAACAACCCCAUCCAAUCCAACCGAAAGGUUAGCAUAACCUCAUCCAGUCAAUUAGAGGCCGACUAAACAACAAAACUCAAAAGUAGUUUAAGAGCCCCAUACAAACACAACAUCAUUCACAAUUUAACUCAAGGGCUCAUCAAAAACAGAAACAAAAGACUCCCGUACAAACGCAACCACAUUAAACAUAAUUCCCUAUACAGACGUUACCAGAUUAAGAAGAAUACCGCCCCUAAACAAUCUGCACGACCAGAAUCACCCUUGCACAGCCACGUUCAUUCAUCAGAAUAAUUCUCAUCAAUCGCCCACAGUCAUUGUUUUGGGUGUUGACGCUAAAACCUUUGGCACGAAUUGUCUCAACAUUACAGUCCCACUUGCUUCUUCUUCUUCUUCUUCUACUGAUGUUACUAUUAUCACUGCCUGCUUACUAGCUGAGAUGGCGGUGUAAAUGGGAGUGAGAGAAGGGGAAAAAUGGGAAAUGGAUGAGAUUAUUAUGGAGCUAGAUGUCGUUGUAGUGUGGGAAGAUGAACAAGGAAGAACAAGGGCAUGGUUGAGCUGCCAUUUCCAUUGCCGGUCUUUGCCUCAGCUGCUCGUUUCUUUCUUUGCUUUUUUGCCAAUUUUUUUUUAAUUAAGCAAUUGCCACGUCAGCUGUCUCACCACAUCAAUACAUAGUCAACAUCACUAGAGAUGUUAAUGUUACCGAAC